rnacentral:rRNA from 1 species
AGGACGAACGCUGGCGGCGUGCUUAACACAUGCAAGUCGAGCGGAAAGGCCCUUCGGGGUACUCGAGCGGCGAACGGGUGAGUAACACGUGAGUAAUCUGCCCCUAGCUCUGGGAUAGCUCCGGGAAAACCGGGAUUAAUACCGGAUACGACCACUUUAGACAUCUGUUGUGGUGGAAAGAAUUUUGGCUAGGGAUGAGCUCGCGGCCUAUCAGCUUGUUGGUGGGGUAACGGCCUACCAAGGCGACGACGGGUAGCCGGCCUGAGAGGGCGACCGGCCACACUGGGACUGAGACACGGCCCAGACUCCUACGGGAGGCAGCAGUGGGGAAUAUUGCGCAAUGGGCGAAAGCCUGACGCAGCGACGCCGCGUGGGGGAUGAAGGCCUUCGGGUUGUAACCCUUUCAGCAGGGACGAAGCGAAAGUGACGGUACCUGCAGAAGAAGCGCCGGCUAACUACGCGCCAGCAGCCGC